UCAGACCGAAGAAGUUUCCGACGAUCAGGUCGAUGUACUUAUGUUUUUCCGGUAUUCAGCCAGAAGAAGUUUCCGACGAUCAGGUCGAUGUACUUAUGGCACUCAGGCCAAUUUUCUGGUAUUCAGACCGAAUUGGCAUCCAGGCCAAUUUCCGAUGUUUCAGAUCGACAUCAAAUCUCUCAUACACCGGUGCUCAGUAUUCAGACUGACGAGCGGCGCUCGAGCCGUGGUUAUCCCUGUGUUACCAUUUAUUU
rnacentral:lncRNA from 1 species